rnacentral:rRNA from 1 species
UACGGAGGGUGCAAGCGUUAUCCGGAAUUACUGGGUUUAAAGGGUGCGUAGGCGGUCUAAUAAGUCAGUGGUGAAAAGUCUGGGCUCAACCGAGGCCUUGCCAUUGAAACUGUUAGACUUGAAAUAAGUUGAGGUAGGCGGAAUGUGACAUGUAGCGGUGAAAUGCAUAGAUAUGUCAUAGAACACCAAUUGCGAAGGCAGCUUACUAGACUUUAUUUGACGCUGAGGCACGAAAGCGUGGGGAGCGAACGGG